rnacentral:rRNA from 1 species
UACGUAGGUGGCAAGCGUUGUCCGGAUUUAUUGGGUUUAAAGGGUGCGUAGGCGGUCCUAUAAGUCAGUGCUGAAAUAUCCCGGCUUAACCGGGAGGGUGGCAUUGAUACUGCAGGACUUGAGUAAAGUUGAGGUAGGCGGAAUUGACGGUGUAGCGGUGAAAUGCUUAGAUAUCGUCAAGAACACCGAUAGUGAAGACAGCUUACUAAACUUUAACUGGCGCUGAGGCACGAAAGUGUGGGGAUCAAACAGG